rnacentral:rRNA from 2 species
UACAGAGGCCACGAGCGUUAGGCGGAAUCACUGGGCUUAAAGCGUGUGUAGGUGGAUGGGUAAGUACCUUGUGAAAUCCCACAGCUCAACUGUGGAACUGCUUGGUAUACUGCCUGUCUUGAGGCACUCAGGGGCGAGCGGAACAGAUGGUGGAGCGGUGAAAUGCGUAGAUAUCAUCUGGAACGCCAAUGGUGAAGACAGCUCGCUGGGGGUGUACUGACACUGAGACACGAAAGCCAGGGGAGCAAACGGG